rnacentral:rRNA from 1 species
CCUACGGGAGGCAGCAGUGAGGAAUAGUGGUCAAUGGCCGGAAGGCUGAACCAGCCAAGCCGCGUGAAGGACGGAGGUGCCAAGCAUUGAAAACUUCUUUUGUCAAGGGACAAAAUAAGGCACGAGAGCCUGACCGAGGGGACGUGAAGAAAAAGCAUAGGCUAACUCAGUGCCAGCAGCAGAGGUAAUACGGAGGAUGCGCUCGUUAUCCGGAUUUAUUGGGUUUAAAGGGUGCGUAGGAGGACUGUUAAGUCAGCGGUAAAAGCCCGGGGCUCAACCCCGGCGCGCCGUUGACACUGUCUGUCUUGAGUUGUCGUGAGGUAUGCGGAAUGCGCCGUGUAGCGGUGA